AUGACCUUUUUUAGCUACAGAAUCUCUCACCACCAGGAGUUUCUAUUUCCUCUUCCUCUUCAUUACUUUCUCGAGCGCGCAGAGAAAGAGACCGUCAACUGUUUAAUGAAAUAUAUGUUUUGUUGUGAAAACGUUGUUACUAUCCAUGUUCCCAAACAGAUUUCACUUGGUUUCCCAAUAGCAUCACUAGGUAGCUACAGGAACAGGGUUGGACAGCCAAUAGCAUCACUAGGUAGCUACAGGAACACGGUUGGACAGCCAAUAGCAUCACUAGGUAGCUACAGGAACAGGGUUGGACAGCCAAUAGCAUCAAUAGGUAGCUACAGGGUUGGAGAGCCAAUAGCAUCACUAGGUAGCUACAGGAACAGGGUUGGACAGCCAAUAGCAUCACUAGGUAGCUGCAGGAACAGGGUUGGACAGCCAAUAGCAUCACUAGGUAGCUACAGGAACAGGGUUGGACAGCCAAUAGAAUCACUAGGUAGCUACAGGAACAGGGUUGGACAGCCAAUAGCAUCAAUAGGUAGCUACAGGGUUGGAGAGCCAAUAGCAUCACUAGGUAGCUACAGGAACAGGGUUGGACAGCCAAUAGAAUCACUAGGUAGCUACAGGAACAGGGUUGGACAGCCAAUAGCAUCACUAGGUAGCUACAGGAACAGGGUUGGACAGCCAAUAGCAUCAAUAGGUAGCUACAGGGUUGGAGAGCCAAUAGCAUCAAUAGGUAGCUACAGGAACAGGGUUGGACAGCCAAUAGAAUCACUAGGUAGCUACAGGAACAGAGUUGGACAGCCAAUAGCAUCACUAGGUAGCUACAGGAACAGGGUUGGACAGCCAAUAGCAUCACUAGGUAGCUACAGGAACAGGGUUGGACAGCCAAUAGCAUCACUAGGUAGCUACAGGAACAGGGUUGGACAGCCAAUAGCAUCACUAGGUAGCUACAGGAACACGGUUGGACAGCCAAUAGCAUCGCUAGGUAGCUACAGGAACACGGUUGGACAGCCAAUAGCAUCACUAGGUAGCUACAGGAACAGGGUUGGAGAGCCAAUAGCAUCACUAGGUAGCUACAGGAACAGGGUUGGACAGCCAAUAGCAUCACUAGGUAGCUACAGGAACAGGGUUGGACAGCUAAUAGAAUCACUAGGUAGCUACAGGAACAGAGUUGGACAGCCAAUAGCAUCACUAGGUAGCUACAGGAACAGGGUUGGACAGCCAAUAGCAUCACUAGGUAGCUACUGGAACAGGGUUGGACAGCCAAUAGCAUCACUAGGUAGCUACAGGAACAGGGUUGGACAGCCAAUAGCAUCACUAGGUAGCUACAGGAACAGGGUUGGACAGCCAAUAGCAUCACUAGGUAGCUACAGGAACAGGGUUGGACAGCCAAUGGCAUCACUAGGUAGCUACAGGAACAGGGUUGGACAGCCAAUAGCAUCACUAGGUAGCUACAGGAACAGGGUUGGACAGCCAAUAGCAUCACUAGGUAGCUACAGGAACAGGGUUGGACAGCCAAUAGCAUCACUAGGUAGCUACAGGAACAGGGUUGGACAGCCAAUAGCAUCACUAGGUAGCUACAGGAACAGGGUUGGACAGCCAAUAGCAUCGCUAGGUAGCUACAGGAACAGGGUUGGACAGCCAAUAGCAUCACUAGGUAGCUACAGGAACAGGGUUGGACAGCCAAUAGCAUACAGAGUUUGGGUGGAAUAUCACGUGUAG
rnacentral:lncRNA from 8 species